ACGAAUACCCCUCGCUGUGCGCCUUCGGGCCGCACGCUUGGAAUAUCCACACACCUGUGCACUCGGUUGGCGGGUUUCGGCCCGCCUCUCGCCCACACAUACUUUGUAGUCACGAACGUAACCUUCAUAAAUAAUA
rnacentral:misc_RNA from 1 species